rnacentral:rRNA from 1 species
GCGACCCCAGGAUGGGCGAGGCCACCCGCCGAGUUUAAGCAUAUCAAUAAGCCG